UUACACAGCUACAUUCACGCAUCAAAAUAUCUUAAAAGUUUAUUUUGUGACCCAGAAAGAGUAAUAUUACAACUAAGUAGCUGCCGCCAUUGUUGGAAUUCAACUUUUGCGAGAUCUCGCAAAAGUUUUGUGAGAUCCCGAGUUUGUUGAGAAGGGUCUGGCUGCAGCCACUGGGGAGCGCCAUAUUGGGACCUCCACACUAACCGGAAACACGUGACCUCCACAGUAGCCGGAAACACGUGACCUCCACAGUAACCGGAAACACGUGACCUCCACAAUCGGCAGAAAUACGUUCCUGCGUGCAUCAUCGACUGUGGAAACCUUGCAAGUGGAUCGUAAAGGUUGGGACAGAGUUUUUCAUGUAUAAAUUUGCCGUUAAUAAUUGUAUAAUUCUAGGAAUCAUCUAGUUUGCUUACACUGAUUAUGUUGGCACUUUGUUAGCGUUACAACAACUGUCAUACCCCCGAGGGAUCUAAACUUUAGUAAUGUGUGCACUUUUGACACAUCUGGUUAGCAUUUAGUGGUCAGUUUCAAACGUAUUUGAUUUUUGCUUGUUAUGAACAAAUUCACUUCACUACUUUUCACUGUCAGUAACAUCGAUGCACAUUGUUCCAUUUACUGCAUAUUGUGCUUUAUUCAUGUCUCUCAUUCCACCUGCAAAAACAUUGUAAAGUUUGUCACAAAGAGAUUUAUAUAUUUAUAAAUACUAAUAUUCUCUAUUCUAUGCUCUACUGCUUUUUUAUUGCCCAGAUUUUAGUUAGCCUUUGUUAAAUUGUCUUUUAUAUGUCAAUAUAUACGUAUGUCCCAAAUAAAAGUGUCUUGUAAAUUAUGUUUUUGUAAAGAAUUUUCUCCCAAAUCUCUCACAUGCUAACUGUAACGUGUUAUUUCUGCUAAAACCUGAACUUAAAUGUGUAUAUGGUGUUUAUUUGAUUUUCUAUUUGUUUUAGAUGCACAUAUCAAUUUGGAAUUCUGCCUCCAAGCCAGAAUUGCAGGAAUGCACCACGUGUUGCAGAAGACUCUUUCACUGCCCUCUGUGCCCCACUUUCAGCCCUACUGUCAGGGCAAAGAUUGAGGAGCAAAUAAAUGGACACAUUAAAAAUGCUUUGCCUUUCAAAGACAAAAUGAUAUGCCGGUGCACUUUCACUGCCCUGUCUAUAACAUGACAAUCAUACAGCGUGGGGAUAUGGCAAGGCAAAUAUUGUCAUGUCAGCGUUUAGGACUGCUCCCCACUGAACUCUCCGUGGAGCCCCGCCUCUCUCCCGCUGCACUCUCUGUGGAGCCACAUCUCCCUCUCCAUGUCUCCAGCAUCUAAACCGUUUUCUGAAUCUUUGGUAGAACAUUCAUGUGUUCUACCCUCUGUGCUAAAUGAAACUGUGGCUUGUGGAAAGUCCAUGGAAAUGAAACGCCCUCACUGUGGUCUUAGUCUUCUUACAAAAAAAACUUCAAGGCUCACAUGAUGAGGAGGCAUUCAAACAGAUCAAUAGAUGUUUGCCUGGCCUGUCAUCUGCAGUGUUUUUGUGUAGAGGGACUUCUUCCUCUUUGUUUUUCAGUUUGCAGAGGACAUGGAGCUCUUUUUAAAAGCAUGUGCUGCUGACGAGCAGGGACUAUGGGUCAAUGCGAUGUUUGACAUUUAAUGGACAGAUGAAGGCACUGUCUGUUUGUUUGUGUUUUUUAUGUGUUGUUUGUUUUUCAGUGUACAGAAUUCCAGUUAACCUUAUUAUAAAAUGUUGUUCAUUUGUUUCCAUGUCCAUACUAAUAGUAAAAAAUUUAAGUGUAAAUGUAACAGCAUGGUUUAUACUUGUAACUUCAAAGUAAAAAGCUUAUUGUUGAUAUUAACAUUAAUGUAUUACCCCGUAAUUAAUAAUAUUUUUAUACAUUUUACGCAUUAACCCUCUGGGCUCUAUCCUGUCCAUUUGUGGCCACUUCACUUCUUCUUUUUUGACUACUACACUGCAGUGGACCAAAAGAAUGACACAGGUUUGAUCUUAAGGAUCUAAUAGUUGUGUGUUUGUGCAUGACAUUGCAACGCAAAUAUGUAUUUGCAAGAUAGACUGGGAAUAAAUUAUGACGCAUCAAAUAUUACACAGGCUGCAGUGAAUUUUUGUUGAUACAGGUUAUUGACCUUUGUGUUUCCCAGUCAAACUUAGCUUUGACACACAUGCUAACACUUUUACUCUUGUGCAUUUCAUAACAAGACACCAUAGCCAAAAUAUUAACUCUAUCAAAAAAAUUAAAAGCUGCAGCUGCAGCACACACAGCAACAAACACUGUUAGUAAAUGUGUCCUGGAGUUUAUGCAGAUGCAAAAAGUGCUACUGCUGUAAGUAAGCCUAACAGCUUCCAGAUCACUUAUCUUUCUGGAAAGAUGGUAAGAAAGGCAUCACUGCUCAUCUCUACAAUCUCCCAGAUCUUGGAAUACAAUGCCUUUGUCCCAUGAAAAUCACUUCACAGUACUGGGAGUCCACUAAAACCUACAAAUGAAGAGUGAUCCUGGAAGAAAUAGGGUGUACACUAGUGACCUCAACAAUUGCAAGACAGCCUUGUCCCCGAUGCUUAUAUGAAAAAAUAAAAUAAAAUACGAAGAUUUAUGAAACCAUUAGGACUUUAUCACUGUUUUAUCUGAAAAGUUACUGGCUGACCUAACUGGCAUUUAAAGUGUAAAAAACAGAAUGUAGAUAAAAUUUUGGUUUUGCUGAAAAGAAGUGGUGCUAAUUUAAAGUGUCGGUUUAAAGUCGGUAAAGGUAGAUAAAUGUUUUAAUAAAUAUACAUUUUACAGCAUUUUGUGAACAUACACAAAAGUGGCCAUUUUUGGCAACGGACAAGCUGAGAGAGAGUUUUAUAGUUUUUACUCUCCUUGAACAAAAAUAAUAGUGCAUGAUAAUCAAUGUGGAUGUUAAUCAAUUAGAUGUCCCAGACUCUACUAUUAAUAAUAUUGUCAUUAUGUACUGUACAGCAGCGGUCCCCAACCUUUUUUGCACCCCGGACCAGUUUAAUGUCAGAAAAUAUUUUCACGGACCAGCCUUUAAGGUGUCGCGGAUAAAUACAACAAAAUAAAAUGAUACAAAGACAAAAACGGUGGUAUUUUGUAAAUAUAAUAAUAAACGCGAAUUCACUGUGUGAUUGUGUAACUUUAUUAGCAGGGUCCUCCUGAAAUGCACCAACAACACUGAGAAUAACAUCCUCCUCUCUGCUCUCUGGUCGCUAUGGUAACGCGUAAAUAGUUCUUUCAAAAUAAGACACACGACUACAACACGGGAAAAGACCCAGGGAACCCGACUUAACGAUUAAAAACCCUGAAAAUCAUACACUUCACACCCGAGCCUCAACUCUCGCGAAAGGUGCUGAUAAAUAAAUUCUAAGUGUUUUUUUUAACAAUCUGGGUUAAAAACACUUAGAAUCAAAUUUAUUUAUCAGCAGCAUCAAUAGUAACAAAAAUACAAUUUAGUUUUCGCUGUCAAAGUCGAUUUAACUGAAGUUACGUGUUUACGUUUACUGUGGAGGUCACGUGUUUCCGGGUACUGUGGAGGUCACGUGCUUCCGGUUACUGUGGAGGUCACGUGUUUCCGGUUACUGUGGAGGUCGCAAUAUGGCGCUCCCCAGUGGCUGCAGCCAGGUGCUCUUGAGUUUGUUUUGCGAGAUCUCGCAAAAGUUUUGUGAGAUCCCGAGUUUGUUUUGCGAGAUCUCGCAAAAGUUUUGCGAGAUCCCGAGUUAGUUUUGCGAGAUCUCGCUAAACAUCAUCUUAAGUUUUUUUUUCUCCCAUGUCACUUGCGGGGCUCCUUAGAAUAGAACCUCUGA
ensembl:lncRNA